rnacentral:rRNA from 1 species
GACGAACCGUCCUAACGUUGUUCGGAAUCACUGGGCUUAAAGGGCGCGUAGGCGGGUGACCAAGUCCGGGGUGAAAUCUUUCGGCUUAACCGGAAAACUGCCUUGGACACUGGUCAUCUCGAGGGAGGUAGGGGUCUGCGGAACUUCUGGUGGAGCGGUGAAAUGCGUUGAUAUCAGAAGGAACGCCGGUGGCGAAAGCGGCGGACUGGACCUUCACUGACGCUGGAGGCACGAAAGCGUGGGGAGCAAACAGG